ACGACCUUACUUGAACAGGAUCUGUUCUAUAGGAUCGUACCGCUGCGUCCUUUACCACAAAGGAGGCAAGCACUCAAGUCUGGUUGAUGAGCCAGGACCUCUGCGCCAGAGCGUGAUUAACAGCCAGAUGCCUCCAGGUUGGAGUCAUCCGCCGGCUGUAGAGGAUCGUUCCUGCUGGGCUUUGGCCUGGUUUGGGAUGGCUCAGAGGUUGUCUGACAGACC
rnacentral:snoRNA from 2 species